rnacentral:sRNA from 1 species
UAUGAUGUAUGAGCGGCGGCAGCAACAACAUUAAAAUAUGCAUGAAUUAGCAAGCACAUGUGAGUUUGUUGGCAAAAAUCCUGUAUGGGUGCGUUAGUGUGUGUUUGUCUCUUUGUCUGGGUCGGUGGCUUGAUGAAGUUCAGUGUUAAUAACAAAUUUAAUUGCUUUCGAUUUUUCCCAUAGAAAAACAAGGCGAAGCACAACAAACAGUGAAAUAGUAAAUGAAUAAAUAUCAGGACAUAUACACACAUAGCAAAAUAAUAUCAACCACAUUUACCGCUCCAAGAAAAAUCCGAUGUGGAGAAAUCAAAUGAAUACUUAAGUAAAUAAAUAAAUAAACAGCAAAUAACCGAAAUUAUUUUUCGGCGAAGAAAAAAAAAAAGAAAAUUAAGAAUAAAGAGAAUAAGCUUUGCUUGAUUUGUUCCUCUUUAAGUGUGUGUGUGUGUGUUUCCUUGUACAUGUGAAUAUGUGUAUUGAUGUGCGCGUGUGUGUGUGUGUGUGUUAAAGUGAAAUAGUCCUAUAAUAACAAAAACACCAACGAAAGCACAAAUAAAGUCAAAAAUAAACGUGUCAAACACGCAAAGCCAGCCGAUUUCAUUUCUUUGUGCCAAUGUCCGUCGUUGCCGUUUUCGUUUUCUUCGAAAUCAACGUAGACAUUGAAUAGUUCCAAAACAGCAUUUCCACGAUAUUGUGAACGUGUCUAUGAAGUAGUUACACGUGUCUCACUGUGUGUAUGUGUGUGUGAGUGAGUCUAGCGGCAUGCCAACUUUAUCCUCGAAUAUCCUUCUCACAUUGUGUUUGUUGUAAACGCAAGAAGCAACAACAAAAGAAAGAAACGGAAAUAGCUAUGAUGUUAUAGAAAUAUCGUUGCCGUUGUUAUUGUGUUACCCAAAUGCCAUUCCAGGUUCUAUGAAAAUUAAAUACUCUUAUCGAAAAAGAACGUCGAUACACCGAUACAACCAACUGCAAUAACAAAACACUUGACAGAUAAUUUCUUGGAAACUAGGACUGCUGGUGCAGCGUAUUAAACAGAUUCCACUCACUAUUCAUGGCGAUUUGCUCUGAUGCUUCUCUGGGACUCCCUUAAAGGUAUUUGGCUCAUACACAC